rnacentral:tRNA from 3 species
GGGCAUUUAGCUCAGCUGGUUCAGAGCGCUCGCCUCACACGCGAGAGGUCACUGGUUCGAGUCCAGUAUUGCCCACAA